AAUGCGAUAAGUAGUGUGAAUUGCAGAAUUUAGCGAAUCAUCGAAUCUUUGAACGCACAUUGCGCCCCUUGGUAUUCCAUGGGGCAUGCCUGUUCGAGCGUCAUUUCAACCCUCAAGCACUGCUUGGUGUUGGGCGUUUGUCCCGCCUACGCGCGUGGACUCGCCUCAAAGUCAUUGGCAGCUGUUCCCCUUCGGCUCGUAAGCGCAGCACAGUCGGCGCCCGGAGCUCUGGUGGGAUGGCGUCCAGCAAGCUAUAUUUUCAGGCUUGACCUCGGAUCAGGUAGGGAUACCCGCUGAACUUAAGC
rnacentral:misc_RNA from 1 species